AAACAUAGCCCUAAGAAAAUAAUUUAGGGUAAGGCCUGCCCAAUGAGAAUCUUGAAUGGCCGCGGUACUUUGACCGUGCUAAGGUAGCAUAAUCAAUUGACUUUUAAAUGAAGUCUGGAAUGAAUGGGAGAACGGAAUUUAGCUGUCUCAAUUUCUUUAUUUUGAAUUUACUAAUCAGGUGAAAAGGCCUGAAGAAGAUAAAAGACGAGAAGACCCUAAGAGUUUGAAAAGGUUUUUGUUGGGGCGACACAGAGUCAAAAGUUAACACUCUGAAAGAAAAUAAGACGGGUUUUUCAUGCUAAAAUAAACUACCUUAGGGAUAACAGCAUAAUCCUAUUGGGUUUGUGACCUCGAUGUUGGACUAGGGAAUUCUUUGGCUAGCCGCUAAUGGAUACUAUUCUGUUCGAAUAUUUACCCCUACGUGAUCU
rnacentral:rRNA from 1 species